rnacentral:rRNA from 1 species
AGAGUUUGAUCCUGGCUCAGAGCGAACGCUGGCGGCGUUAACACAUGCAAGUCGAACGGGUGUAGCAAUACACUCGUGGCGAACGGGUGCGUAACACGUGGAUAACCUUCCUUCAGGUGGGGAAUAACCCAGCGAAAGUUGGGCUAAUACCGCAUAACAAGACGAUGGCACAUGCUGUUGUUUUCAAAGGAGCAAUUCGCCAGAAGAGGGAUCCGCGGCCGAUUAGCUAGUUGGCGAGGUAAAGGCUCACCAAGGCAAUGAUCGGUAGCCGGUCUGAGAGGAUGAUCGGCCACACUGGAACUGAGACACGGUCCAGACUCCUACGGGAGGCAGCAGUGGGGAAUCUUGCGCAAUGGGCGAAAGCCUGACGCAGCAACGCCGCGUGGGGGAUGAAGCUUCUCGGAGUGUAAACCCCUUUCGACCCGGACGAAUGCCCGCAAGGGUUUGACGGUACGGGUAUAAGAAGCCCCGGCUAACUACGUGCCAGCAGCCGCGGUAAAACGUAGGGGGCCAGCGUUGCUCGGAAUUACUGGGCGUAAAGGGUCCGUAGGCGGUGUGGCAAGUCGGAAGUGAAAUCUCCGGGCUUAACUCGGAGGCUGCUCCCGAAACUGCCGUGCUAGAGGAUGAGAGAGGCGAGUGGAAUUGCGGGUGUAGCGGUGAAAUGCGUAGAUAUCCGCAGGAACAUCCGAGGCGAAAGCGGCUCGCUGGAUCAUUUCUGACGCUGAGGGACGAAAGCUAGGGGAGCAAACAGGAUUAGAUACCCUAGUAGUCC